AGGGGUAAUAAUCUUUAAAAAUGCAUGGGGAGGCAUUUUGUGUAAAUUUCUAGUUUUUGCUGUUUACAAAAGUUAUCAGAGUAUUACUGUCUUUAUGUUUAUUCCUAAUGGUUUCUCUGGUUCCAGUUGAAAAUGAUUUGGGAAGCCCAGGAGUCUGGCUAAUAUUCUGGCUCAGUUCUCAGAAUGUGAGGUCAGUGCAGGUGGGCCGAACAAGGCCAUGGCCUUUAUCUCCAGCAUGAACACCAGGAGGGUCUUGUCAAGUGUCCUUUGCCUUUUGGGAAGCCCAACCAUGUAAUAUGGAAACUUCCAUUCUCUGGCAAGUCUUAGCAUUUUCUGCCCAAGUGCCAGGUGAGACUGAGGAGAGUGAAGACGUGUCCCCGGCAUACUGACAUGUGUUUCUGUACGGCCCCUAAUCUGAUGAAUCUUUAUCUUUUAUAGACUUAGAAUUGGUUUUAUUCUAUAGCUUUUCUUUUAGGUCAUCAGUCUUAUACUUCAAUUUCACAUAAGCGAUAUGUGUUUAUCCACAGCUUCAUACAUGCUCACUCCCACUGACUCUACU
rnacentral:lncRNA from 1 species